GUCUGCUGCAAUAUCUUCGCAACGGGCAGCAACUCACAUGUUCGAUUACAACAGGCUGAGCUGCUCCACACUCCCCAGUGCCAGGGCUCAGGGAAUGAGGGAGGGGAAAAAACACCUAGACGCUGAGCAAGACCACACACUUCCUGACACAGGCAGCCCCGAGGUCCUGGCUCCGUCCAGGUUGAAAGAGCCGCAACACUUCUCGCCAAGGAGCCCAGCAUCUUAACUAAUGCCCCUGCCUGCCCAUCGCUGACGGAUGCUCUUCUUUGCUUCUUUUUUCUCCACUUCAGAAUCCAAGGCAGGGUUUGAGUGACUGACACCUUCUCCCCUCUUGGCCCUGGGAGCCGAUUAGUUCAGGACUGUGGCAAACCGGUAUUUCAGGUCCCCUUGGCAACCCCAGUGCCCAGUCUCCCGAGGAGGAUUGCGAGGAUUGCGUUUCUAAAGGACCCUGAGGAGACCAGACUUCUGGGUGUUUUGGAAAUAGGGAAUAAGAAAAUCGGCAAUGAAAUCCCUCAGAGUUUCUGGAGAAAAGAACCCAGCAACAGGUCAGCACACUGGAGGAAAGAAGACAUUCAUCGUGUGAUUUCUGAAGAAAAGAUCUUAAGAAAUUCCGAUUUUUCUCCAGGAAGACUUUUGUGCCGUUAACAAUUUUGAAAUCUGCUUUUUAAAAAUGUUACAUGAUAGCAUUGGCAUUUUUCCAUGGCCUGAGAAACUCUGCAAAGAACAACUUUAGAGUGGCUAUAUAAUCUUCUGACUAGGCUGUCCCCCAACUUGCUUAUCCUACUUGACGAUUUAAGUUGUUUCGAUUUUUUCCCCAUUAUUACAAAUA